rnacentral:rRNA from 1 species
AACAAGGUCUCCGUUGGUGAACCAGCGGAGGGAUCAUUACCGAGUUUACAACUCCCAAACCCCUGUGAACAUACCUAUUUGUUGCCUCGGCGGUGCCUGUUCCGACAGCCCGCCAGAGGACCCCAAACCCUGAUUACAUUUAAGAAGUCUUCUGAGUAAACCGAUUAAAUAAAUCAAAACUUUCAACAACGGAUCUCUUGGUUCUGGCAUCGAUGAAGAACGCAGCGAAAUGCGAUAAGUAAUGUGAAUUGCAGAAUUCAGUGAAUCAUCGAAUCUUUGAACGCACAUUGCGCCCGCUAGUAUUCUGGCGGGCAUGCCUGUCCGAGCGUCAUUUCAACCCUCAAGCCCCCGGGCUUGGUGUUGGGGAUCGGCGAGCCUCCGCGCCCGCCGUCCCCUAAAUCUAGUGGCGGUCUCGCUGUAGCUUCCUCUGCGUAGUAGCACACCUCGCACUGGGAAACAGCGCGGCCACGCCGUUAAACCCCCAACUUCUGAACGUUUGACCUCGGAUCAGGUAGGAAUACCCGCUGAACUUAAGCAUA